rnacentral:rRNA from 1 species
GUAGGGAAUAUUGGGCAAUGGGCGAGAGCCUGACCCAGCCAUGCCGCGUGCCGGAUGAAGGCCUUCUGGGUUGUAAACGGCUUUUCUCAGGGAAGAAAAAGAGGAUGCGUCCUAAACUGACGGUACCUGAGGAAUAAGCACCGGCUAACUCCGUGCCAGCAGCCGCGGUAAUACGGAGGGUGCAAGCGUUGUCCGGAUUUAUUGGGUUUAAAGGGUGCGUAGGUGGCCCGUUAAGUCCGGGGUGAAAGCCCACAGCUCAACUGUGGAACUGCCCUGGAUACUGGCGGGCUUGAGAGUCGUCGAGGGUGGCGGAAUGGACGGUGUAGCGGUGAAAUGCAUAGAUACCGUCCAGAACCCCAAUUGCGUAGGCAGCUGCCUAGGCGACAUCUGACACUGAGGCACGAAAGCGUGGGGAGCGAACAGGAUUAGAAACCCUAGUAGUCC